rnacentral:rRNA from 1 species
CGGUUGAUCCUGCCGGACCCCACUGCUAUCGGGAUAGGACUAAGACAUGCUAGUCAAGCGCUUUCUAGCUAAUGUGAGAGCGCGGCGUACAGCUCAGUAACACGUGGCCAACCUGCCCUUGGGACGGGAACACCCCCGGGAAACUGGGGUUAAUUCCCGAUAGGUGAAGAAGUCUGGAAUGAUUCUUCGCUCAAAAGACGUUUAUGUCAUGCUCAUAUUCGUCGCCCAGGGAUGGGGCCGCGACCGAUCAGGUAGUUGGUGAGGCAAUGGCUCACCAAGCCUUUUACCGGUGCGGGCCGUGAGAGCGGGAGCCCGGAGAUGGGCACUGAGACAAGGGCCCAGGCCCCACGGGGCGCAGCAGUCGCGAAAAUUUUGCAAUACACGAAAGUGUGACAGAGCUAUCCCGAGUGCCAUCCGCUGAGGAAGGCUUUUACCCAGUAUAAAUAGCUGGGAGAAUAAGGAGAGGGCAAGUCUGGUGUCAGCCGCCGCGGUAAUACCAGCUCUCCGAGUAGUGUGGACGUUUAUUGGGCCUAAAGCAUCCGUAGCUUGCUAGAUAAGUCCUCUGUUAAAUCCACCGAUUCAAUCGUUGGAUUGCGGGGGAUACUGUUUGGCUAGGGGACGGGAGAGGUCGACGGUAUUUCCGGGGUAGGGGUGAAAUCCUAUAAUCCCGGGAGGACCACCAGUGGCGAAGGCUGUUGACUAGAACGCGCCCGACGGUGAGGGAUGAAAGCUGGGGGAGCGAACCGGAUUAGAUACCCGGGUGGUCCCAGCUGUAAACGAUGCNNNNNGG